UACGUAGGGGGCAAGCGUUGUCCGGAUUUAUUGGGCGUAAAGAGCGUGUAGGCGGCCAGGUAAGGUCCGUUGUGAAAACUCGAGGCUCAACCUCGAGACGUCGAGUGGAAACCAUUCUGGCUAGAGUCCGGAAGAGGAGAGAGUACUCGUGGUGUGAGCGGUGAAAUGCGCAGAUAUCAGGAAGAACACCUAUGGCGAAGGCAGCUCUCUGGGACGGUACUGACGCUGAGACGCGAAAGCUAGGGGAGCAAACAGG
rnacentral:rRNA from 1 species